rnacentral:rRNA from 1 species
ACGGGGCGCAGCAGGCGCGAAAACUUUACAAUGCGGGAAACCGUGAUAAGGGAACUCCGAGUGCCCGUUAAAUCGGGCUGUCCAUCAGUUUAAAAAACUGGUGAAGAAAGGGCCGGGCAAGACCGGUGCCAGCCGCCGCGGUAAUACCGGCGGCUCGAGUGGUGGCCACUAUUACUGGGCUUAAAGCGUUCGUAGCUGGUUUGUUAAGUCUCUGGGGAAAUCUUCCAGCUUAACCGGAAGGCGUCUCAGGGAUACUGGCAGACUAGGGACCGGAAGAGGUGAGGGGUACUCCAGGGGUAGGAGUGAAAUCCUGUAAUCCUUGGGGGACCACCUGUGGCGAAGGCGCCUCACCAGGACGGCUCCGACAGUGAGGGACGAAAGCUGGGGGAGCAAACCGGAUUAGAUACCCGGGUAGUCCCAGCCGUAAACGAUGUGCGUUAGGUGUAUCGGUGACCACGAGUCACCGAGGUGCCGAAGAGAAAUCGUGAAACGUACCGCUUGGGAAGUACGGUCGCAAGGCUGAAACUUAAAGGAAUUGGCGGGGGAGCAC